rnacentral:lncRNA from 1 species
UCGAAUGAUCGGAGAUUGUUGAAUUUUCUUUCCAAAGUCAAGAUCAAAAUGGAUCCGAUCAAAAUGGAGAGUUAGUCAAAGGAUCAAAUGGCAUCUUCAAUUAGAGAAGACUAUUCAAAUCAUGCAAGGUGGUGACCAUCUAUCUGCGUGUAAGGUUAGCUACCUGAGCUCAGUAAUUAGUUUUCUCCUCAAACUUAACUUUGUAAUAAUCAUGAUAGCAAACAGUUAAUAAUCAGCUUAAGCAUAAACCCUUCGAAUAUACUUCCGAGUUCCUGUUUUGUAGACUAUAAACAAGGUUUGAGUUGAAACGAUCUUAUGCAGAUUAAAGAACAUCCAUCUACUGGUCAACCACUAAUUCGAUCUUCUUCUUUCAAACCUUUUUCAUUUGUACAAUCUUAUGCAGAUUUGUUCAUGUAAUCAAAUUGGC